rnacentral:rRNA from 1 species
UACGUAGGGUGCGAGCGUUGUCCGGAAUUAUUGGGCGUAAAGAGCUUGUAGGCGGUUUGUCGCGUCUGCCGUGAAAAUCCGAGGCUCAACCUCGGACUUGCGGUGGGUACGGGCAGACUAGAGUGUGGUAGGGGAGACUGGAAUUCCUGGUGUAGCGGUGAAAUGCGCAGAUAUCAGGAGGAACACCGAUGGCGAAGGCAGGUCUCUGGGCCACUACUGACGCUGAGAAGCGAAAGCAUGGGGGAGCAAACGGGG